GUGGAUUAGAUACCCUGGUAGUCCACGCUGUAAACGAUGUCAACUAGCCGUUGGGAACCUUAGUGUUCUUGGUGGCGUAGCUAACGCGCUAAGUUGACCGCCUGGGGAGUACGGUCGCAAGAUUAAAACUCAAAUGAAUUGACGGGGGCCCGCACAAGCGGUGGAGCAUGUGGUUUAAUUCGACGCAACGCGAAGAACCGUACCAGGUCUUGACAUCCAGAGAAUCCUGCAGAGAUGCGGGAGUGCCUUCGGGAGCUCUGAGACAGGUGCUGCACGGCCGUCGCCAACU
rnacentral:rRNA from 1 species